rnacentral:misc_RNA from 1 species
GGCAAAUCCUGACCGCCCAGUACAGAAAACCAUUAACACCCCUUUUCAAUUUUACAAUGAAAAAGCUCUCAUUCAAAUUCACCACCUACUGGACCUUACAACACGCCCUUCAAGCUUUCUUUGGGGUCUUGGCGGCUUUCUUUGGAGAUUUUGGGGUCUUCUUGGGAGAUUUUGUUGCAGCAGAAUCACCCUUCUCAAGAGUCUUCUUGGGGAGGAGGACCGGGUUGAUGUUGGGGAUGACACCGCCAUGGGAGAUGGUGACUCCAGCGAGCAGCUUGCCCAGCUCCUGGUCGUUCCUGACAGCAAGGCAGACGUGCCUCGGGAUGAUCCGAGACUUCUUGUUGUCCUUGGCAGCAUUGCCAGCCAGCUCCAGCACCUCAGCAGCAAGAUACUCGAGCACGGCGGCAAGGUAGACAGGAGCUCCGGAGCCUACACGCUUUGCAUAGCGGCCCUUUUUGAGGUAGCGGCCGACGCGGCCUACGGGAAACUGGAGGCCAGCCUUGACGGAUUUUGUGACGGUCUUCUUCCUUGCACCGCCCUUGCGGCCGCCAGCGCCCUUGGUUACCUUUCCAGACUCCAUCUCUUCAGCUCUCGAUGAGAUGAAAUGAG